ensembl:lncRNA
AUGAAUUUUGUCUUUCCAACAGAGGCCUUUUGCACCACCAAAAAAAAUCCCAACAGUUUGCCAGCACUUCCCUUGGAAAGUCAUUCUCUUUCACAUGAGAGCGAUGAGAUAGCAAAACAUUUGUUGGAUCGUCUCUCACAAGGAUACGUUACUCAGAGAAGAAAGUAUUACAGCCUGGUUGCAAGCAGCACUCCAUCUUCUGGUGUGGAUGUCUUCCCACCUGUCAGUUCCACUCAGGCAGCUGAAUGCUGUAUCACACAGGACAGCAGCAGCUCCAGGAAGAGCAACACAGAGCCACAGCUGAAAUCUCCCAGCUCCCUGGUUUCACCUACUCAAACCACUGUUACUCCUGAUAGAAAGUCUUUGAGCAAAGAGAUUUUCUGUGAUCAGCCACAGCAUAAAGAAACUGGGUGUGGUGUUGAAAUGGACCCCACAUACAGCAGACUCCCUGAGUUUGUUCCUGUGAAGGCUAAAAACAAAGGUAAUUGUAAAACUGGUGAAAAAAAGCCUGGUAAGAAAGCAAGUAUGGGAAAAAAAAAAACAAAUGCAACUAAAAAAAAGGGAGAAAGUAGUCCCAAUAGAGCUGAAGGUGAAGAGACUGCUCAGAAUACUAAGAAGCUUCUUCAGCCAAAAGUUGCAACACGUCCUAGUGAGUCUGAAGUUUCUGAGAUGAGGCAAAAGGGUUGCAUGGAUGCUUUUGACAGGGACAGCACAGGCUGUGGUACAGAGCAACAUUCCUGCUUUCCUGCUGAAGUCUUCCAUUCCAGAAGAACAUAUGUGGUGAAUCCAGCACAGCUGCACAGUCCUGAAAGUAGUGACUUACUCCAACAGGUUAAGAAGGAUACUACCUUUGAGAUCCAGCAUAUGGAAAGCUUGCCAGGAAGCCCAGUUUGUACCUUCUCAAGUCUUGAAGCUCCCCCGGAUGAUUCCAGUCUACAAAAUUCACUUUUCUUGAGGAAAGAGACCUCAAGAGCCUGUGCUUUGCAAGAGGACUCAAGUGUGAGGACAAAGAGCGUAAGACAGAAAACCAACAGAAAAACUAGAAUUAUUAGGCAAAGAGGUGACUCCAAGGAAGAGAAUCUGCCAAACAGUGUGAAAACAGCAGAGGCCAAAGCUGAAGAACAGCCUAAAAGCCAGACAAGAAGGAGGAAGACUGUCAGGAAAGGCAGUUGUCAUGAUCUGAGAAAUGAAGUCGAUGGUUUUGGCCUAUGUAUAGAUGUUCAAGGAGUAACUGAGGAGAGCACAAAGGAUUUACAAGGUAAUCUUAAACGCAGCAGGAAAACUUACAUUGUGAGUCCUUUGCAUCUUGCAGAAAACUUGGGUUGUGUCCAGACAGAUUCUGAAGACAGUGACGUUGUAUCUCCCAGGACUGUUCCUGGGAGCAAAGCUAGCAAAAUCCCCAGAGCUCACAGGAUGGUAGCUGCUCAGAACAAGACAAAGGGCCUUCAAGAAAAGGGGCAAGCUAAAGUUCACAACAACAUGAGCACUUCAGAAAAAGACUCCUGUUCCAAACCAAAGCUUCAGAGGGAGAGCACCACCUCUAGACCUCCAGGAACUGAUUCCCUGGCCAGACGAAGUGAUGGUGCCAAAGUGCUCAUUGCAAGUUCAGCAGAACUUGCAUCCAAGCAAACUCUCCUGACAGGGAAGAUUUCCUGCAUUGCAGAUAUGCCUAAUCCAGAUGCUUAUCUGGAGGAGCAGAUGGCAAAUACGGACCUUUCACAUCUUAAAUCCUCCAAUGUGACCUAUUCUGCAGCUUUGUCUGUCAGCUCCUGGCUCAUAGAUGCACCAGUUUCCAAGAGCUUAAGUACUGAGGGCAACACAAUGCCAGAGAAAUCCUCUGUUUGGCUGGAAAGCUUCUUAAUAUCUAAAGAAAAGACUGCAGAGGAAGUACCUGGGGAAGGAAGCCAGGUGAAGCCAAGUUCUCAGAGCUCACCUUCACAGGAACCUGCGACCAGGCCACUGCAGGACUUGACCAAUGCCAGCACUUUGUCUUCCUCUAGCUCUGAAGGAGCGACAGGGCACUCAUCCAAGCGGAGACGGGAACCAGGCUACUACAAAGAGCCAAGACUGAACAGCAAACUGAGGCAGGGUGACCCAUUUACAAACACAGAGUUCCUCAACAACCUUACCAAGAAAACCAAAAAGAGAAGAACUGCAAAAGCCAAGGAAAUUACCAUGAAGAUCAAAAAAGAAAAAGAAUAG